ACUCAAAUGAAUUGACGGGGGCCCGCACAAGCGGCGGAGCAUGUUGCUUAAUUCGAGGCAACGCGAAGAACCUUACCUGGGUUUGACAUGCAGGGAAAUCUCGUAGAGAUACGGGGUCCGUAAGGGUCCUGCACAGGUGGUGCAUGGCUGUCGUCAGCUCGUGUCGUGAGAUGUUGGGUUAAGUCCCGCAACGAGCGCAACCCUCGUCCUAUGUUGCCAGCGGGUAAUGCCGGGAACUCAUAGGAGACUGCCGGGGUCAACUCGGAGGAAGGUGGGGAUGAGGUCAAGUCAUCAUGCCCCUUAUAUCCAGGGCUGCAAACAUGCUACAAUGGUCGGUACAAAGGGUUGCGAGACCGUGAGGUGGAGCGAAUCCCAAAAAGCCGGCCUCAGUUCGGAUCGGGGUCUGCAACUCGACCCCGUGAAGUUGGAGUCGCUAGUAAUCGCGGAUCAGCAACGCCGCGGUGAAUACGUUCCCGGGCCUUGUACACACCGCCCGU
rnacentral:rRNA from 1 species